rnacentral:lncRNA from 10 species
GAUGCUAAAGAAGUGCUGUCUUCAACCCUGUAGAAACUGAUACUCCACCCGCUUGUUCUUUCUGCUUCUAGUCCUGUGACCCCAGGAACCAUCCUCUUUCCCUAGGACUAUCAGCCAGCAUCUCUCCUCUGUCGCCUCCAACCUGCCCUCUUCCCGCUCCACCGAGCACACCUGCAGGCAGGAGUGAGAAUCGUUGCUAUGUGGAGUGGGCAAGUGUCUUGACCACUGUCCUUCCCAUUUACAUCAUGCCUGUCCUAGGGGUAAUAACAAUACUCACCUCACUGGGUGUGCUGAAGGUUAAAUGAGAAAAUGUAUGCAUCCAGCACAGAAAGCAUAAUAUGUUUUCUUUUCUUUUCUCUCUCCUCCUCCUUUUUCAUUCUUUCCACAAUCUUUCCUUCCUUCCCCAAAAGUUACACUUUUCCAAGCUUAAAGCUCCAUCUUGGCAUCAACUGUAACCUGAAUGUAUGCCAUUCACAGCUGAUUUGCCGGGUGCUGUGCCACACAGUUCUGAACCCCAGUGAGGGAUCAAUCCACACCCAGUCCCCAGCUCUACCAGUCUCUGGAGCACUCUGCACUGCUCUCUCCAGCCCUACCUCAUGCACACGAAAGGGGGCUUGGCCAAGUUUAGCAUGUCAUCACUGGCAGCCACACUCUGACCUGCAGUAACUUCUGCACUGGUUGACAUUCACCGCUUUGAACAUAGAAACAAGAGGCUCCCUGUAGCUGCUGCCUUUUGUGGGCUUCGCCAUCGUCCUCCUGAGCAGGCUUCCACAUUAAGGACUCAGAAAUUUCUAACACUUUACAAGAGGGAGGAGUGAACAGCAAGUGGUUUGGAAAUCACAAAUUUGUAGGAGCUCAGCAAGUGCUACUUAGGUCUAAGGGACACAGGGCAGGUUUGGAUUAAGAAAUGACACCAGUUUGGGGCCGGGCGCAGUGGCUCACGCCUGUAAUCCCAGCACUUUGGGAGGCCGAGGCAGGCGGAUCAUGAGGUCAGGAGAUCGAGACCAUCCUGGCUAACAUGGUGAAACCCCAUCUCUACUAAAAAUACAAAAACAAAGUUAGCCAGGCAUGGUGGCAGGCACCUGUAUUCCCAGCUACUCUCAAGACUGAGGCAGGAGAAUGGCAUGAACCGGGGAGGCAGAGGUUGCAGUGAGCCGAGAUCGCACCACUGCGCUCCAGCCUGGGCGACAG